GGAAUAGAAGCCCUGCGUUUUGUCUGGCACUGGCUGUCUGGAGUAAAAACUACAUUUCCCAGACUUCCCUGCAGCUUGGAGUGGCCAUGUGACUGAAGGCUGGCCAAUGGAAGGGUGAAUCAGCAGUCGCCACAAGCAUGUCACCGGCAGAGAGGCGCCAUUGCCCACCAGGUGGAAAGAUGGAUGAAUGGAAAGACCCGGCGAGGUGUCCUCAGCCAACUCUGCUACACCUGAAGCUUGUCCCUGAGGUCGCUGCCAUCUGCUGCAAUGGUGAUUGGAUGCUGCCAGUGCUCUCAACGAGCACUUUCCAUGGGGAGGGCACGAAGAUGAAGGACAGAACCACUGCAAUCAAGGUGCUGCAAGAGUGUCACCAUUUUAAGUGUGCAAUUGAGUGCGUUGAGGACUUCCACAACCUGUAACCAUCACCAUUAUCUACUUUCAGUACCUUUCCAUCUUCCCAAACUGAGACUGUCUCACCAUCAAACACUAACUCCCCAUUCCCCUCCCCCAGCUCCCAGCACCCACCGUUCUACUUUGAGUCUCUCUGGAUUUGACUACUUCAGGAAUCUCAUCUAAGUAAAAUUGUAUCAUAUUUUUUCACUCAACACAAUGUCCUCAAGGUUCACCCAUGUUGUAGCAUGUGUCAAUGUCCUUCCUUUUUUUUUUUUUUUUUCUGAGGCAGAGUCUAAUUCUGUUGCCCAGGCUGGAGGGCAAUGGCAUGAUCUCGGCUUACUGCAACCUCUGCCUCCUGGGUUCAAGCAAUUCUCGUGCUUCAGCCUCCCAAGUAGCUGAGACUACAGAUGCACGCCACCACCCCGGCUAAUUUUUGUGGGUUCUUUGUUUGUUUUUUGUUUUUGUUUUUGUUUUUUUGAGAUGGAGUUUCGCUCUUGUUGCCCAGGCUGCAGUCCAAUGGCGUGAUCUUGGCUCACUGCAUCCUCUGCCCCCCUGGUUCUAGCGAUUCUCCUGCCUCAGCCUCUCGAGUAGCUGGGAUUAUAGGCACCCACCACCACACUCGGCUAAUUUUUUAUUUUUAGUAGAGACGGGGUUUUACCAUGUUGACCAGGCUGGUCUCAAACUCCUGACCUCAGGUGAUCCACCUGCCUCAGCCUCUGAAAGUGCUGGGAUUACAGGCGUGAGCCACAACACCUGGCCUGUGGGUUUUGUUUUGUUUUGUUUUGAGAUGGAGUCUCCCUCUGUCGCCCAGGCUGGAGUGCAGUGGUGUGAUCUCAGCUCACGGCAACCUCUGCCUCCUGGGUUCAAGUGAUUCUCCUGCCUCAGCCUUCUUGAGUAGCUGGGACUACGGGUACUUGCCACCACGCCCAGCUAAUUUUUGUAUUUUUAGUAGAGACGGGGUUUUGCCACGUUGGCCAGGUGAUCUGCCCACCUCGGUGAUCUGCCUGCCUCGGGUAACCUCAGGUGAUCUGCCUGCCUCGGCCUCCCAAAGUGCUGGGAUUCCAGGCGCGAGCCACCGCGCCCAGCCAUGUCUGUCCUUUUUAAGGCUGAAUGGCAUUCCAUUGCAUCGAUGGAGCACAUUCUAUACAUCCAUCCCUCUGCUGAUGGAUUCUUGGUGUGAUGGUUAAUACUGUCAACUUGAUUGGGUUGAAGGAUACAAAGUAUUGAUCCUGGGUUUGUCUGUGAGGGUGUUGCCAAAAGAGAUUAACAUUUGAGUCAGUGGGCUGGGGAAGGCAGAUCCACCCUUAAUCUAGUGGGCACAACCUAACCAGUUGCCAGUGAAUACAAAGCAGGCAGAAGAACGUGAAAUGGCGAGAUUGGCCUAGCCUCCCAGCCUACAUCUUUCUCCCAUGUUGGAUGCUUCCUGCCAUCAAACAUCUGACUCCAAGAUCUUCAGUUUUGGGACUCAGACUGGCUCUCCUUUCUCCUCAAGCUUGCAGACGGCCUACUGUGGGACCUUGUGAUUGUGAGAAUUCUACCUGCCCCCAGCCCCUCCUGUGUGUAAGGAAGCAGGAGUUCCCACCGUGGCACCGGAAGCAGCGGGCACCCUCUGACCCCUCCCAGGGAGCCCACGCUCUCAGCCUGGGGCCCGCCUUCUCUCCCCUUCCCCUCAUCCAGCAGAAGCGGGGUCGCUCUCCUUUUGGAGGCCAGCAGGCCCCUUGCCCUCUGUGCCUGAUGCUCAAGCUGUGGUAACACAGCCCCACACAGGGUAGGUGGCUCAAACAGACAUUUAUCAUCUGCAGGACUCUGGGCUGGAUGUCCAAGACUGGGGUGUCGGCAGAGUUGGCUCCUUCUCAGGGCUAUAGGGCAGAGUCUGUUCCUUUCUUGUCCUUUAGCUGCUGGUGUUUGCUGGCAAACUUUGGCACUCCUUGGCUUGUAGCAGCAUCACCCUUGUCCCCACCUUUACGCUCUCAUGGCGUCCUCCUGUGUGCACGGCUGUGCCCAUGUGUCUCUUAAGGAGGAUCCUGGUCACAAUGGAUUCAGGGGUCAUUCUACUCCUAUGUUACCUCAUCUUCACCAGUUGCAUCUGUAAUGACCCUAUUCCAAAUAAGGUCACAUGCUGAGUUACUAGGGGUUAGGACUUCAACAGAUGAACUCUGGGGAGGAGACAUAAUUCAGCCCAUGACCCCCCAAACACACACACAAAAUGAAGUCCCUUGGACUCUGGUGUGGGGAAGAAGGUGACCAUGGCACAGCCAUCAGCUGCGAAAAAUCCACAUUCUCUUGUCAAAGCUGUUUUACAUGUUAAACAAGAGCCCCCAGUGUCUCCUACGCCUUCAUCAGGGACCAUCUGUUGAUCCUGCAGCACUGAGUACUGCUGCUUCCCCUGUGUUGACACAGCCCCGGGCAAGUUCCCCUUGCCAGGACU
rnacentral:lncRNA from 1 species